CCUAUGGGAGGCAGCAGUGAGGAAUAUUGGUCAAUGGGCGCAAGCCUGAACCAGCCAAGUCGCGUGAGGGAUGACGGUUCUAUGGAUUGUAAACCUCUUUUGUCGGGGAGCAAGUCCCGCCACGUGUGGCGGGAAGGACAGUUCCCGACGAAAAAGCAUCGGCAAACUUCGUGCCAGCAGCCGCGGUAAUACGGAGGAUGCGAGGGUUAUCCGGAUUUAUUGGGUUUAAAGGGCGUGUAGGCGGUAGGUUAAGUCAGCGGUCAAAUGGCGGUGCUCAACACCGGCCUGCCGUUGAAACUAGUAUUCUUGAGUGAGCGAGAGGUAUGCGGAAUGCGUGGUGUAGCGGUGAAAUGCAUAGAUAUCACGCAGAACACCGAUUGCGAAGGCAGCAUACCGGCGCUCAACUGACGCUGAGGCACGAAAGCGUGGGGAUCGAACAGGAUUAGAUACCCCAGUAGUC
rnacentral:rRNA from 1 species